rnacentral:lncRNA from 1 species
GACGAAUUUGAAGUUCAUGAGGCUAGGAAUGUGCUGAAAAGAGUGAAGAAAUAAAUCAAAGACAAUGAAGAUAAGGAAUUAGCUCAAAAGAUGAAACCUUAUCCAACCUUAUCUUAUCUUAUCCUUGCCUAACCUAACCUUAUCUUAUCCUAUCUUAUCCAAAUCAAUUUGUGCUUUAAUUCCAGCUAUCUCUAAGGGAUAAUUAUGCAUUUAAACUAUAUAUUUCAGAUUCUAGAACCUUUAUCCUUCUAGAACCCCUAAAUUGGUGCUAAAACAUCUUUUCUAGAAGCACCUAAAAAUCUGGCGCCUAGACCCUUUCUAGAAGCCCUAGAACCUGCAAUCCUUUUCCCUUAGGAUUGUGCAAUCCGUUUCCCUUCAGAUUUUGGUGAACCCUAGUCCUUUUCCUUCAUGAAUUGUGCCAAAUACACAUUCAUUUCCUUCAGAAAUUCGUGGGUUUCCCUAGCCCUAUAAAUACAAACCUUUGUGCAGCAAUUAAUCCACGACCCUCUACCAUAAAUCACCUACAUUCAUCCACCACACCAUCCACCACAAUCCUCUUGUGCCGCAGCUAAGGAAUGAGAAAAAGGAGCCAUCUGGAGUGUUUUUAGGUGUAUUCUAUCUUUGUUUUCAAUGUUUAAUUCAAGUUAUCUUUGUUUAAUUGUGAACAUGAGGAACUAAUUUCUUUAUAGUUAGAGGGGAAUUCAAAACCAUGAUUAUACUUGCAAUAUGAAUUGAUUACUUUCAAUUGUGAUUUGAUAAAUUGUGAAUGCAAUUCGCUUAACUGUUUUACUCAAAACUUAUUCUUGUAUGUUGAUUAAGGUGGCCAACUUAGUUUGCAUGCAUGAAUUUGAUGAUAGAAUAUAAGAGAUUUUCACCUAAUCGUUAUGAACUUAUAUUCACAAGUAGUGAAGGUUGCUUAUCACGAUCGUGUUAAGUGAAUUCUUGACAUAAGUUUCAUGCAAUUCAUAGUUACAAGUGCCUCGUCAAUGCUUAUGAUUUUCAUAGAACUUAAUGAUCUUUGCUCGUAUCUCUAUUAUGCAAUUCAUGUAGGGAACUUGUGGAGAAUAAUUUGGGUUGUAUGCAAUCAUCCAAUUCAAUGAAAUUAGGAAAAUUUGAGGGUUAAUUAGUGCAAUUCACGGUUAAUCUAGGGCGUUGAGUUUCAUGGUUUAUUGAAAAGCAAUUGGAGAUUGAUUUGUAUGCAAGUGUGUCAUGUGUGGAGAAUGAUCUUCUAGCCAGACCAUCACCCAUCCAAUUUCCCAAUUUUCGUCCAAAAUCUGUUUUAGUCUUUAAUUUGUUUGUUUUACUUUAUUUUCGUCCAAAACCCAAUCCCCCUUUACUUUGAAGUGUUAGAUUAGUUAAAAUCUGUUUUGGUUUGUGUUUUUAAGUGUCUUGAGUCAAGUUAAAAUCAAUUUUCGUCCAAAUAACUCCCUAGAGUCAGUUUUGAGUCUUUUUAGUUUGUUUGGAGUGUUUUUAGUCUUGUUAAGUGUUUUUAAGUUUAUUUUUGUGUUUUCAAGUCAGUUUCAAUUAGAUUAGCAAUCCCUCUUAAUCGCCGGUCCAGAACGAUCCGUACUUAUACAAAUACUACAAUUGUCAAAAGAGGGUUUAAUUUGUGUGCUUAACUUUUAUCACAUCAAAUUUUAGCGUUGUUGCCGGGGAUUAGCAACUUUGCUAAUCCCCCGUUGUUUCUUUUUGUUUCUUUUUUGUGUCCUUUGUCUUAGUUACUGAUUUUGUUUUGUUUUGUUUCUUUUACUUUGGAUAUUUGAUUUAGUUCUCUUUCUUUGAUUUAAGGUACUAGAGAAGUAAGACAUGGAUUUUGCUAAUCUUCAAGCUCAAAUGGUGACUCUUACUUCUCAAUUGUCGCAAUAUGUCGAAAGGACCAGAAGACAAAGUAUCCCUACAUUUGAUUGGAGUGAUCAUUCAAACUCUAUGUGGUGGGAACCUCAACCAGUUCAACAUGAAGCAUAUUGGCAGCCAUAUGAGGAGUUCUAUUCAAGACCUAUGCAGCCACCACAACCUCAUAUACAAUAUGCUCAAUCAAACUCAGGUUCGUCAAUAGAUUAUAAUCAAAUUCUUAAUGAAUUAAAUUCUUUGGUGUAGGGCUCACAAAAUCAAGCCAAUGAGGCUCAACAAGAAGCAUAUUGGCAGCCAUAUGAGGAGUUCUACACCACGCCUAUGCAGCCACCACCGCAUCCCCUACAACAAUUCCAAUCAAAUUCAAGUAUGUCCAUGGAUAGUGAUCAAAUUCUUCAAUUACUAACCUCUUUGGCGCAGGAUCAACAAAAUCAAGACAAGAAGUUGGGUAAAUUGAAGAAUCAAAUGGGAGAGAUAAUGGAGUUCAUGGCACAAAUUCAAGAGCAAAGUGAACUCUCCAACUCAACUAUUGAAAAUUUGAAGGAAGAUUUUGAAAUCCAUGAUGCUAUCAUUUUGGAAAGUGGCAUGGAGGUUGGAAGAAGCCCAAAAACGUCCAAAUCAAGCCAAGAGGAGGACGACCAGCUGCUAAUUGAGGAGGACGAAGAAGACACACCCACAGCAAGGGUAGAACAACCCUUGCCGCAGCCUCCUAGAGUCUCUAUGUCGUCCAACUCAGGUAAGGUGGUUCCAAAUUCAAUUAAUUCUAACCCCAUUCCACCCAAUGUCCUUUUUCCUCGCAGGUUUUUGAUUCCCAAGCAAGAAGAGAGUGAAAAAGACAUUGUGGAAGCUCUUCCAAAGGUGCAAAAUGAUAUUCCAAUUCUUGGUGCAACAAAGCAAGUUCUAGAUUAUGUUGAAUUGUUCAAGGGACUUUGUACACCAAGAAGAAUGAUUCAAGAGAAAGUAGUGGCUGGAGAAUAUCAAGAAUUCAUCAAAGAGGACGUAUUUGAGACAAUGAAGCCCAAAGACAUUGAAUUUUAUGACACGGGGCAAGUCCCAACCAUCACAUUCAAUCUGGCCGAGUCCAAUAUCCCUGAAACUUUCUAAGAAGUGGUGUUUGUCAUUGAGUUCCUGUCGGACAAAGCACCCACUCUAGAAUUGAAACCUUUGGCGGAUCAUUUCAAGUAUCACCUUCCAUUCAAGGAUCAAUUUCAUGCUAUGGGACCUAAGGGAGCAUAAAGAGAAGCAUCGUCCGGUUGCAAGACGUUAAAGCAAGCGCUUCUUGGGAGGCAACCCAUGCAAAUAAAGAAGACCUAGGAAGCUCCGGCAUCACAACCAGAUUUACGUUCCUAAACCCUACUCUUUAUUGCUUUUACUUUGCCAUAUUUGUCAUAUUUGCUAGUUAUGUUAUUUGCUUGUUUUUGUGUUAUUCUACGUUUGGAACAUUGAGGACAAUGUUUGGGUUAAGUGUAGGGGGUAAACAAGUGUUUUUGUUGCAAAAUUCGUACGAGUUUACCACCUAACAUUUCAAAGGUUGUUUUUCAAUGUUUUAAAGUGUUUUUAGAGUAUUUCGGAGUGUUUUAUUGUGUCUUUGAUAGAAAAUACGAAAAUUUGAAAAAAAAACUAGAAAAUGUUUUAAAAAACCCAAAAAGAGUUGUUUUUUUUGUGUGUUUUUGUCUUAGGGUACCUUCCAACACAAUGAUGAGGAUUUGGUUUUUAAUUGCAUGACUGUUAAAGAAAGUUACAAACAGGGGUGGAAGUUUAAUAUGCUCUUUGGUUUAUGCUUGGUUUUAGUUGUCGUUUACGAAUUCACAUGUAAUCACAAAAGGAAAAAAAAAUCAGUUUUUGUAACAUGCUUGAAGGAAGGAACUCAAACUAACGCUACAACCCAGAGAGACUUGAGCCUAAACUUUGUUUGGAGAGUUAUUAAUCUGUGAUUUCUUGUUUCCUAAAGUCAUUGCAUGAUCUCAUUAUUCUUUGCUUGGUUGCUACUUAGAAUGCGUUUUAUCACUUUAGUUCUAAAUACUAGAACUCAUGCCCGUUUCAUUCAAAGCUUUAAAACUGAGUGCAUAACAUAUAACAAGAUGAAGUUGUUUAGUAGUCACCACCAGAGCCAAAAAGUCUUCAUCCCAUGCAUUUGUUUUGUAGGUUUAACCCCUUUUGAGCCUUAUUUAGCCUAUUUUCGUUGUUAGCCACAUUAUCCUUACCAAGCCUAGAUUAGGACUACCUAUACCCUUGUUCUUAAAGGAUAGUGAAGCAUGAUUUAGAGAGAAUUCCUUUUGAUCAAACAUAUUGCAGAAAAACAAGUGUGGGGGAAGGGAUUUUUGUGUGUGUGUGUGUGCGCCAAAGUCUUAAAAGAGGCACGGGUAGAAAAGAAAAAGAAAAAAAUUCGUGGAAAAUAGAAAGAAAAAAAAAAAGUUGUGAAAAGAAUGAAGAAGAGUUGAAAAAUAUGUUAGAAAGAGCUCUAAAGUGUUGGUUGUUGAAGAAAUUGUCCAAAAAUCUUGAAUUUGACCCUAAGUGUUGCAUGAAUCUUCCCUUGUUUAAAAGUUGAUUUCUGCAUUCUAAAGUGAAUUCUAAGUUGAUUUCAUUGCUUUACUUACUAUUACGUUAAGAACAUUUGUUUAUCCUUAACCUUUCUUUGUUAGCCAAUACCCUUAGCCCCAUUACAACCCUUAGACUUUAAUCUUGGUUGUUGUGUAUUUCAAUAUGUGGAGUUUGGGAUUGGUAUGAGCAUAUGGUAUCACUGGUUCUCACGUCUAAGUAGUAGCAUUCCAUUCAUGAGAUCAUAUCUAGCAUGUUUAAUAACUCCAGAAAAUGCUUUCUUUGUUAUACAUAUAUGUGAGUGUUCGUCUACAUGUUUACAUCAAUCUUCUCACAUAUAACUAGUGUAGGGUGUGUAGUUAGAAAAUCUGUGUGAAAAUAGAGAGUAUAUCUUGUGAGGAAUUGAGGGAAUUCUCUAAGGCAUGUUACUACAUUCAAAAUGUUAUUUUAAUUGAUUAAAUGUGAGCUCGUGAAUGGUGACUAUGAUUAAGUAUGUGCUCGAGGGUGAGAAUAACUAAAUCUAUGUAAGUAGUGAUUUUUAAUGUGUCAUGUUUCAUUGGAAAUCCCUGAGACAAACGUUGGAAAGUUUAUGUUAUGUUAUGUUUUGGUUUGCUUGUUUUGUUUUGCUCGAGGAUUAGCAAAAGCUAAAUGUGGGGGAAUUUGAUAGGAGCAUAUUUAUGCGACUUAGUUAGCUUGUUUUCUUGCAUUUUCAUAGCUUGUUUGUGUUUAUUAUAGUGUUUUAAGCUAUUUUCGUGUGUUCGUAGGUCCAUAUGACAAAGUUGGCAAGAAAGUGCAUUUUGGAGCAUUUUAGGCAGUUUUGGGCACCAAAUGGAUAGCUUAUGAAUGGAGCAAGAUGGAUGGACGAAUUUGAAGUUCAUGAGGCUAGGAAUGUGCUGAAAAGAGUGAAGAAAUAAAUCAAAGACAAUGAAGAUAAGGAAUUAGCUCAAAAGAUGAAACCUUAUCCAACCUUAUCUUAUCUUAUCCUUGCCUAACCGACCCUUAUCUUAUCCUAUCUUAUCCAAAUCAAUUUGUGCCUUAAUUCCAGCUAUCUCUAAGGGAUAAUUAUGCAUUUAAACUAUAUAUUUCAGAUUCUAGAACCUUUAUCCUUCUAGAACCCCUAAAUUGGUGCUAAAACAUCUUUUCUAGAAGCACCUAAAAAUCUGGCGCCUAGACCCUUUCUAGAAGCCCUAGAACCUGCAAUCCUUUUCCCUUAGGAUUGUGCAAUCCGUUUCCCUUCAGAUUUUGGUGAACCCUAGUCCUUUUCCUUCAUGAAUUGUGCCAAAUACACAAUCCUUUCCUUCA